UACGUAGGGGGCAAGCGUUGUCCGGAAUCAUUGGGCGUAAAGCGCGUGUAGGCGGCUUGGUAAGUCCGUUCUGAAAGCCCGGGGCUCAACCCCGGGAGGCGGAUGGAUACUGUCAAGCUUGAGUCCGGAAGAGGCGAGUGGAAUUCCCGGUGUAGCGGUGAAAUGCGCAGAUAUCAGGAGGAACACCGAUUGCGAAGGCAGCUCGCUGGGACGGUACUGACGCUGAGACGCGAAAGCGUGGGGAGCAAACAGG
rnacentral:rRNA from 1 species